AUUGAACGCUGGCGGAAUGCUUUACACAUGCAAGUCGAACGGCAGCACGGACUUCGGUCUGGUGGCGAGUGGCGAACGGGUGAGUAAUACAUCGGAACGUGCCCAGUCGUGGGGGAUAACGUAGCGAAAGCUACGCUAAUACCGCAUACGAUCUAAGGAUGAAAGCGGGGGAUUGCAAGACCUCGCGCGAGUGGAGCGGCCGAUGGCAGAUUAGGUAGUUGGUAGGGUAAAGGGCUACCAAGCCGACGAUCUGUAGCUGGUCUGAGAGGAUGAUCAGCCACACUGGGAAUGAGACACGGCCCAGACUCCUACGGGAGGCAGCAGUGGGGAAUUUUGGCCAAUGGGCGCAAGCCUGAUCCAGACAUUCCGCGUGCAGGAUGAAGGCCUUCGGGUUGUAAACUGCUUUUGUACAGAACGAAAAGGCUCUGGUUAAUUCCCGGGGCUCAUGACGGUACUGUAAGAAUAAGCACCGGCUAACUACGUGCCAUCCGCCGCCGUAA
rnacentral:rRNA from 1 species